UGCUGGGGAUAGCUCAGUUGGCAGAGCAUGAGACUCUUAAUCUGAGGGUUGUGGGUUCGAGCCUUGGGUUGGGCAA